AGCGAACGCUGGCGGCAGGCCUAACACAUGCAAGUCGAACGAAGUCUUCGGACUUAGUGGCGGACGGGUGAGUAACACGUGGGGACGUACCUUUUGGUUCGGAACAACUCAGGGAAACUUGAGCUAAUACCGGAUGAGCCCUUAGGGGGAAAGAUUUAUCGCCGAAAGAGCGGCCCGCGUUAGAUUAGCUAGUUGGUGAGGUAAAGGCUCACCAAGGCUACGAUCUAUAGCUGGUCUGAGAGGAUGAUCAGCCACACUGGGACUGAGACACGGGCCAGACUCCUACGGGAGGCAGCAGUGGGGAAUCUUGCGCAAUGGGCGAAAGCCUGACGCAGCCAUGCCGCGUGAAUGAUGAAGGUCUUAGGAUUGUAAAAUUCUUUUACCAGGGAUGAUAAUGACGGUACCUGGAGAAAAAGCCCCGGCUAACUUCGUGCCAGCCGCCGCGGUAACAC
rnacentral:rRNA from 1 species